rnacentral:rRNA from 1 species
GACGAACGCUGGCGGCGUGCUUAACACAUGCAAGUCGAACGGAAAGGCCCUGCUUUUGUGGGGGGCUCGAGUGGCGAACGGGUGAGUAACACGUGAGUAACCUGCCCUUGACUUUGGGAUAACUUCAGGAAACUGGGGCUAAUACCGGAUAGGAGCUCCUGCUGCAUGGUGGGGGUUGGAAAGUUUCGGCGGUUGGGGAUGGACUCGCGGCUUAUCAGCUUGUUGGUGGGGUAGUGGCUUACCAAGGCUUUGACGGGUAGCCGGCCUGAGAGGGUGACCGGCCACAUUGGGACUGAGAGACGGCCCAGACUCCUACGGGAGGCAGCAGUGGGGAAUAUUGCACAAUGGGCGGAAGCCUGAUGCAGCAACGCCGCGUGCGGGAUGACGGCCUUCGGGUUGUAAACCGCUUUCGCCUGUGACGAAGCGUGAGUGACGGUAAUGGGUAAAGAAGCACCGGCUAACUACGUG